AAGUGUCAGUGAAGCAGCAAGCAGUGAUAGUGCCUAAAACAUUGCGAAAGGCUCAAAAGUGUGCUCCAGGCAGAGUCAGCCUGGAACCUCUAGAGCAUCUUAUUGCACUUUUCGCAUUCUCCAACUGCAACAUUAGGCUGUGGUUUCCAAUCAUUUUUGAAGAAAGAUGAGGAGAAUUUGUUUAGGAAGUAGAGAUCAUGCUCUUUGGACAAAGAACACCAAGGUUCCCGUGUUGUUCUUAUGAGAAUGUCAAAAGGGAGGAGUUAAUUUCACUUAUCAGUCAGUUUUUGAAGAUGGAAGGUAGUUAUUUGUGAUUUUUCCCACCAGAAUGCCAUAUAUUGCUCAGAAUGUGGAAAUGAAGCAUGCUGAAAACAGAGUGGCUUGUGCCAGGCUUGUAGAAAGCCGUAUGGAUUGAGAAGAAUUAGAGGGGAGCGUGGUAGCUGGUACUGGAGUGCUAUCAAGGUACAAGACUUGCUUGAAGAAAACUGGACGUGCUAAUAUUUGAAGAUUUGAUGGAAAGAAGUUAGACAUUGUAGACAGCAUUGGCAAUCAUUUGGACGACAUAAAUGAAGCAUGUGAUUGCAGUGUCAGUCGUUCAUUUGGAUGAAAAUAGUUCAAAGUUUUGGUGCUGCAAUUGCGGCAGCAAGAAUUUCUACAUCCUCGUUCAAAGGUCCCACCAGAUCUUGCAAGGCCUUUGUAAAUUGGACAACAGGUUAUACAUUUCCACUCAAGAACAAGAGAGACUCAUGAUACAACUGUGCACCUUCUUGGUUCUUAGCUAACAUAAUUAUUUUGGCAUGUCUACUUUAAGAUAAAUAGUCACAAUCCAAAAAUUUGCAGUUUGAAUGAUCAAUAAAUAGGUUUUGUUAU